rnacentral:rRNA from 1 species
CCUACGGGAGGCAGCAGUGGGGAAUUUUGGACAAUGGGCGCAAGCCUGAUCCAGCCAUGCCGCGUGAGUGAAGAAGGCCUUCGGGUUGUAAAGCUCUUUCGGCGGGGACGAAACGGUCCGUGCCAACACCACGGACUAAUGACGGUACUCGCAGAAGAAGCACCGGCUAACUACGUGCCAGCAGCCGCGGUAAUACGUAGGGUGCGGGCGUUAAUCGGAAUUACUGGGCGUAAAGCGUGCGCAGGCGGCUCCUCAAGUCAGAUGUGAAAUCCCCGGGCUUAACCUGGGAACUGCGUUUGAAACUAGGGAGCUUGAGUGUGGAAGAGGGGGGUGGAAUUCCAGGUGUAGCAGUGAAAUGCGUAGAGAUCUGGAGGAACACCGAUGGCGAAGGCAGCCCCCUGGGCUAACACUGACGCUCAUGCACGAAAGCGUGGGGAGCAAACAGGAUUAGAUACCCUGGUAGUCCACGCCCUAAACGAUGUCAACUGGUUGUCGGGGAAGCAAUUCCUUGGUAACGAAGCUAACGCGUGAAGUUGACCGCCUGGGGAGUACGGCCGCAAGGUUAAAACUCAAAGGAAUUGACGG